AUAUAAUGUUAUUGUUUGUUAUUGUUAUUUUUCAUAUGAUCAUGAAUUCCAUUUUAAAUUUGUGCAUAUUAAGGAUGUCUAUUGAUAUCCAUAUAAACGUAAUCUGUAUGAUGCCUGUGCAAGUUCUAAUGAUUAUUUCAGAUACAAUACAUACUAUUUUGAUAUGUAUAUGAACAAGGCAUCAAAGUGUAGAUAUAUUCUGAAAGGUACCUGCAUUCAGACCUACUGUAGAGUUAAGCUAAUCUUUAUUUUAUAAAACAUGUUUUGAAUAUUAUUUUAAAUGUGUAUGUUAUUGCAUGGUUAUUUAAAAGAUGUAAUGAUUUCCUUGGUUAUUCGUAUGGGAAUUAAUGUCGCCGCUGUUGCAGAAAAAAGCAUUUCCUGCAUUAGCAUGUACAUUGUAAAUAUUAAUGAAAGCAAUUCAUGAAAUAGGUUGUAAUAGUUGAGAUAAUCUAGUCUUUU